rnacentral:lncRNA from 1 species
GCCCCUGCCGCCUCACAUACCUGUCCCGAUGUACAAUCGUGCCAGCAUGCCGGCGAUGGUGGACCAAAAUCAUUGUAUGUGUAUGACAGUGAAGUUCCUGUUAUGUGAUUUUAUUUUAACUGCGACACAUAUUCCCGAAGAAACUGAGAGCAAGUAUAGGAAAGUCAGAAACACGUUCCCGAAGAAAGUGAGACCAAGUAUAAGAAAGUCAGAAACACGUCAGUGUUUCUGAGUUUCUUCUUGUUCUCACUUUCUGAGGGCUACGGGCAGAACAGGGAGGACCACGUGUGUUCGUGUGUUGAUUCGUGCGCGAGCACCUUUGCAAUUUCUGGCCAAGCGUGGUUUUGAAGGUUAGGACACAGACAAGAUGUUCAGAGAAGUCGCCUGUUCAAAAUCCAGGCAAACUCGGUAGCGCAAACGGAAGGUGCCGGCCUCAUGAAUGCCCUAUGGUUGGUUUUUGGGAUUUGGGACGGCUUCUUCGUUGCAGCUUACAUCUGCUGUCUGUCUGUCGCGACCUUCAAGUGCCAUAUGGCACUGCCAUACUUCAGCCGCAAUGUCCAGCACCUUCUUAGCAUAGCCGAUUUGACAGCUUUUCCAUGGCAGGCAGGCGAGGCCCAGCGCUGGCCCAGCGCCCGACAGAUGUGUGCACUGUGUGGGGGCCCUCCGUGGUGUGACCGGAGGCUCUUCCACUACUAAUGCACACGCAGUGGCUGGUUGCAAGGACUCGGGCGGUUCGCUGCUUUUAUCACCUAGCAGCCGUCAGAAGCUCAGGACGAGGCGGCAUUGAAAGAGGCAACUCGGCAGCGCAUGUAGGCCUUGUGCGUGGCGAGCAGACACCCGUGCAUCAGCAUCAGCAGCAGCAGCAGCAGCAGCAGGUGAGGAAGGCCACUCAGCAGCGCAUGGAGGCCUUGCAUGGUGAGCUUGGAGAGGCGCGCGUGCGGGCCACUUUUGGCCAGCUUUUGUCUCUUUUUGUUGUCCGCGCUGUGUCCCUCUCGCGCAGCAUCUGUCGCAGUCCGAGUCACUGCAGACAUUCCGGACGUUGACCGUCACACGUCGGUCAGUAGCCCUUCGGGGACCGCAGAGGAGAUUUCGUACGUGAUGGCAGGAUGGCGGAUGGUCCUAUAUCCCUGCAAAAGCAGGUCGGCUUAGGAAACUCUAUGUUUCUGUUUUCGGCGGGAGUUUCGGUAGUUACGAUCCGAAGCGCCCGGAGCGUUUGCCCUGGGACCGAUUCAGGUCCAAGAGCGAUUUCGCGACCUCGCAAACUCGUUUUUUGCAGUACCGGUUCGCCAUCCCACAAUUCCUGCCACGUAGAGGUGAUGUGCUUCACAGAGGACGUGUGACAUACAAAUUCGCUUGUGGGAAAGCUUUUACACUCUGGUUGCAGAGCGACGUUUCCCCCUUUUAAUUAUAAGAACGCAAAAAAAUCGCGGUGAGCCCAUAGCCUGAACACUUCGCAUCUCAUCACAUGGGAACCGUGGUGACUUCAGCACCGCCGCUGCAUCGUAUAUGCGUUCGUACUCUGCAUUCGAUUUUUCGCUGCCGUACAUGUAAAAUAUUCUUUCUUUCAUAGCCGGAACUCUUCAGCACCAGGCGUUGCACGUACCGCCAUAAAAUAGGUCGACUGCUCAAGCACGCAACGAACCAGAUAUCACAACGAACUAAAUUUUUUUCAACGAACCAACGCUUAAAGUUAACAAAGAAGUCGGGAACAGGGAAGGUUCCACACAUCCAACAAACUUGUGAAAUGGGCCCUCGUGGCGUAACCGUCACCAUCUCGGCUUCGGCCUCAGCACCGACCCAUGGGACCGUAAUCAAACGUCCUACGAGCCGCGGCUCCCGUCAGACCCCCAACUACGGCCGCUUUGGUGCGGUUGGCAGCAAAACCGUUUUUCCUUCGAGUUGCAGCUACUGCCGCUGUCGCCGCACCGCGGCGGCUGCAGCUAGGCCGCUUGCGUUCCGGGAGAAGGAGGAGAAACCGGAGUUACAAGCGGGAAUGCUGAAGCAAGGGGAGGCGUUUCGGAUGGGGCAGGCGCAGCGACUCAGCCGCCGCGGCUGGGCUGUGCUUGACAAGAAGGUGCACAGGGGCUUCGGAGCUGAGACUUUGAGAUGCAAGUCUCAAAUAUGCACUACAUUCCGGAAAUGCAUUUUUGAACGUGGCCAUCUUAUUAUUAUCAUUGUUAUUAUUAUUAUUAUUAUUAUUAUUAUUAUUAUUAUUAUUAUUAUUAUAUUUUUAUUAUUUUAUUUUUAUUAUAUUAUCAUUUUUUAUAUUAUUAGUAUAAUAAUAAUAAUUAUUAUUGUAUGUUAUAUUAUUAUAUGUUAUUUGUGGCUUUUGUGAUAACUUUUUUGAGUAGUUGCCGUACCGCUUAGGGGUCGUCCAGACGGAGGGCUACCUGUAGACAGGAAAGUUGUGCUUGUUUCCGUGGGAGGUGGAGGGUGAGCCUGGCUACCGAACCGACCCUGGUGCUGUACGCUGUAGUAUAGAGUAGGGCAGAAGCCGCAGCGGAAACUUGUCAGUACUCUCUGACACUAUGAACUCGUAAAGUUAUAUUCGCACUACUCCUGCGACUUAUUCCAGCCCUGUACGGCCCAGCCGUACGCACCAACGACAUUCAACCGAGUACGCUCUCGGCAAAUACUCAGAAUACUUGCCGAGAAAGUCUUUUUAUUGCAAAUACGCCUUGGUUAAACCUUGGUUUUCUUUUCUCUCGAUUUUCACUCAGAAAACCUACCGCGACAAGGUCCUAAGCAAAACAGGAAUACGAAGUUCAUGGCGCGCAGCUUUGUGUGUAAAUUUCUCCCGUCUCCCUUGUUCGUCUGGCAUGUUGUGAAACUGGCUCGUACGGUGUCGUUCGUGUCCGUACACAGUCCGAGCUGUCUCCCUGGAGCCAUUCCGUUGGCGAGCUGGGCCCUCGAGAGGUGGACGUCCGGGUGACACACAACGGCCUUUGUCAUACCGACUUGAGCAUGCGA